rnacentral:tRNA from 11 species
CCGUGCCGGGAUUUGAAACCCGGACGUCUGACACGCGAGGCGAGCAUGUUACCACUACUUCACCAACGCACG